rnacentral:rRNA from 1 species
CAGCAGCCGCGGGAACACGAAGGGUGCAAGCGUUACUCGGAAUUACUGGGCGUAAAGCGUGCGUAGGCGGUGAGUUAAGUCUGCUGUGAAAUCCCCGGGCUCAACCUGGGAAUGGCAGUGGAUACUGGCUCGCUAGAGUGUGUCAGAGGAUGGUGGAAUUCCCGGUGUAGCGGUGAAAUGCGUAGAGAUCGGGAGGAACAUCAGUGGCGAAGGCGGCCAUCUGGGACAACACUGACGCUGAGGCACGAAAGCGUGGGGAGCAAACAGGAUUAGAUACCCCUGUAGUCCCUGUCUCUUAUAA